UUGGAUCCAAAGAUGUUGAAAUGGUUUUGUUCGCUUUGAAGAUGGAGAAGGUUCUGUUGAAUCUCCGUGGAUGGGUUUGAAAGUUUUUCUCUCCCAUGUUCGGCUAAACUGUGGAUCUACUCUGGGUGGUAAUUAGACUUGAUCGGGUCGGUGUCGCGGAAGCUUGGUCCGAUAUUAAAUAUUGUUCCUAGCAUAGUUAUUAUUAGUAGGAAUAUUUGUCUUAUGAUGUUAUGAAUUUAGGAAGACUAUGUCUUUAAAUUAUUGUCGUGUUGAAUAUUGUGUGACUAUUGGUUUACUUCGGUUGCGUUAUGGUAAUGUCAUCUUUAGAAUGGAUGAUGUAACUCACGGACUUAGCCUAGAUGUCUAGGCCGGGUUUAGGGUGUUACAUAGAAUUCUAAAAUGUUUCAUUUUUUUUUAGUUAUAUUAAUUAUUUUGAUAUUGCAUUUAUUUGUAUUUGUAUUUUGAUAUUGUGUGACUCAUUUUGUGUUGAUUAUUAUAGAAAAGUCGCAACAAAUUUAUCUUGUUUUUUUAUUAUAGAA